rnacentral:rRNA from 1 species
UGCCAGCCGCCGCGGUAAUACAGAGGGUGCGAGCGUUAAUCGGAUUUACUGGGCGUAAAGCGCGCGUAGGCGGACAUUUAAGUCAGAUGUGAAAUCCUCGGGCUCAACCUGAGAACUGCAUUUGAUACUGGGUGUCUUGAGUAUGGUAGAGGAGAGUGGAAUUUCCGGUGUAGCGGUGGAAUGCAUAGAUAUCGGAAGGAACAUCAGUGGCGAAGGCGGCUCUCUGGCCCAAUACUGACGCUGAGGCGCGAAAGCGUGGGGAGCAAACAGGAUUAGAUA